CCUGCUUCAGCCUCCCGAGUAGCUGGGACUACAGGCGCCUGCCACGACGCCCGGCUAAGUUUUUGUAUUUUUAGUAGAGACGGGGUUUCACCGUGUUAGCCAGGAUGGCCUGGAUCUCCUGACCUCGUGAUCCGCCCGCCUUGGCCUCCCAGAGUGCUGGAUUCCAGGCGUGAGCCACCGCGCCCGGCCCCUCUUUCUCCAUCUUUAAAGACAGCAGGGUUAGGCCUAGGUACAGUUGUGUGCUGGUAAAUUUGUAACAAAAGGCUCUCCAGGGGAAGAAAAGCCCUGAUUUUCAGUGUUUGCCAAUUUCCACGGUAUUAAAAGUACUCACACCAAGGCCGGUUUUAAGCAGUGCUCCUGAAGUCCCUGAAGACAGAGUUGAAAAGCAUCGUGCACAGUUGACUCUUCUAAGCUAGUCCGAGCUGGCUCCAACACACUACUGCCUAUGCUACUUCAGCAAGCCUGUUCUCUUUGGAAAUCUCCAGAGGAGACAGAGGUGUCAGUGUCUAUGGAAAUGUACAACUCACACGUUUGGGAAUCUGACAUGCCCUUCCAAGAACUCCCUCUUCUACUCCGUUCUACUCCACUAUGAGCAUUAUUCAAAAGAGCCAAGAUAUGGAAGCAACUGAAGUGCUCAUCAACAGGUGAGUGGAUUUUUAACAAGUAGUAUAUGUACAUGAUGGAAUAUUAUUUGGCCUUAGAAAUGAAAGAAAUUCUGUCAUUUGUGACCACAUGGAUGAAUCUAGAGGACAUUAUGCUAUGUGAAAUAAGCCAGGCACAGAAAGACAAAUAUCACAUGAUCUCACUUCUGUGUGGAAUCUAAAAAAGUCAAACUCUUAGAGAAGUAGAAAACAGAAUAGUGGUUACGAGAAGCAGAGGGGAGGGGAGGAGAGUGCAUGGUGAAAGAGAUGUUGGUCAAAGGUACAAAGAUUAGUUAGACAUGAGAAAUAAGUUCUGGUGAUCUGUACAGCAUGGUGACUAUAGUGAAUAAUGUACUGUAGAUUUCAAAAUUACUAUAAAAGAAUGGAUUUUUAAUAUUCUCACUAUAGGGAAAUGAUAAGUGUGUGAGGUGAUGGAUGUAUUAGCCUGAUUCCAUCCUUCCACAAAUGCAGACAUGUAUCAAAAGAUCACAUUGUACUCCAUAAAUAUGUAUAUUUAUUAUUUG
rnacentral:lncRNA from 1 species